CUCUUAAUUCUUCUGGAAAAGUCCCUCGGCGUGUUCUUUUUUGGAAUAAAGAAGCUUUACUUCCCCUCUAGAAUGUCACAUGACACCUAUAAAGAAGGAGGCGGAGGGGCCAUGCAAGUCUCUGCUCAGGAGACACAGGUAGUAGGCACUGCCGUGCACCCGGGCUCUCACCAGGCUCGUCCUGUGCACCCCCUGACGUGACAAAAGGGACACGUGCAGACUACAGACACAUGCCGAACCCAGGGAAGGCGGGCUGGCCGGCCUCGACGUCGCCUGGGUGUAGGAGGAGGCCUCUAAUCAACGCCACAAAGAAGGCUGAUUCACAGCAGUGGGCCCACGGCAAGGACCAGACUCCAGGGAGCCAGUGACGGGGCCAGGGAGAGGGUAGAGGGCUCAGGUCAGUCACUGGACACCACAGGACCCAGGUAGUGCCCCAGGCCCAGGGCCAGCAUGAAGACACCAGGAGGCAGGCAGCUGGGUCAGAAAGAUCACUGAGGUUGGAGGUGAGCUGGGGCCCAGAGUCAGACAAGCCGGGGUCAGGAACUUUGGGAUUGUUCACCUGUGGCCUAGGGUAAAUCACACAACCUUUCUGAACGCCAGUUUCUCCUCUGGAUGAUCAGAACCCUCUUCACCUUCCCUGAGACCCAUUUGAUGAUGAUCAAAUAAAAAUAAAAUCCAGAAAAGGAAGUUUCAUCUUUGAGGAUUCUGUCAGCCAGCUAACCACCACUUUACAAUCUAGAAUAGGGGUCCCCAGCCUCUGAGCUCUGAGGUGGAGCUGACGUAAUCAUAAUAAAAUGCACAAUAAACGUAAUACUCUUGAAUCAUCCUGAAACCAUCCCCCCUUCCGUGGGAAAAUUGUCUUCCAUGAGACCAGUCCCUGGUGCCUAAAAGUUUGGGGACUGCUCAUCUACAGAGUACACAGUCACGUUAAGCUCACCGCUGACUGCUCUGUGCUUACUCCUUAUCUCCCGAAAUCUUCAAAGUGGGGAAUCGGAACCUUUUUUGCAGGUAAGGAAACUGAGGCUCAGAAUAGCUAACUGUCUUGCCCAAAACCUCAC
rnacentral:lncRNA from 1 species